GCCAGUGUGGUGUAGUGGUUUGAAUAUUGGACAAUGACUUUGAAGACCAGGGCUCAAAUCCCAGCUCAGCCA